rnacentral:tRNA from 1 species
UACUUUGCGGUCGUGGUGCAACGUCGGACUGUAAAAGCGAUUGUUGUGGGUUCGAAUCCCACCCGGGGGAA